GACGAACGCUGGCGGCGUGCUUAACACAUGCAAGUCGAACGGAAAGGCCCUGCUUUUGUGGGGUGCUCGAGUGGCGAACGGGUGAGUAACACGUGAGUAACCUGCCCUUGACUUUGGGAUAACUUCAGGAAACUGGGGCUAAUACCGGAUCGGAGCUCCUGCUGCAUGGAGGGGGUUGGAAAGUUUCGGCGGUUGGGGAUGGACGCGCGGCUUAUCAGCUUGUUGGUGGGGUAGUGGCUUACCAAGGCUUUGACGGGUAGGCGGCCUGAGAGGGGGACCGGCCACAUUGGGACUGAGAUACGGCCCAGACUCCUACGGGAGGCAGCAGUGGGGAAUAUUGCACAAUGGGCGGAAGCCUGAUGCAGCAACGCCGCGUGCGGGAUGACGGCCUUCGGGUUGUAAACCGCUUUCGCCUGUGACGAAGCGUGAGUGACGGUAAUGGGUAAAGAAGCACCGGCUAACUACGUG
rnacentral:rRNA from 1 species